rnacentral:rRNA from 1 species
AAAUGAAUAGACGGGGCCCCGCACAAGCAGCGGAGCGUGUGGUUUAAUUCGAUGAUACACGAAGAACCUUACCAGGGUUUGACAUGCUAGUGGUAGGGAUCCGAAAGGUGACCGACCCCUCGGGGAGCUAGCACAGGUGCUGCAUGGCUGUCGUCAGCUCGUGUCGUGAGAUGUUCGGUUAAGUCCGCUAACGAGCGCAACCCCUGCUGUGUGUUACAUGUGUCACACGGGACUGCCGGUCUUAAACCGGAGGAAGGUGGGGAUGACGUCAAGUCAGCAUGGCCUUUAUGUCCUGGGCUACACACACGCUACAAUGGCCGGUACAAUAGGUUGCGAAGCCGCGAGGCGGAGCCAAUCCUCAAAGCCGGCCUCAGUUCAGAUUGCAGGCUGCAACCCGCCUGCAUGAAGAUGGAGUUGCUAGUAACCGCAGGUCAGCUAUACUGCGGUGAAUACGUUCCCGGGGCUUGUACACACCGCCCGU